rnacentral:rRNA from 1 species
UACGGAGGGUGCAAGCGUUAAUCGGAAUUACUGGGCGUAAAGCGCUCGUAGGCGGUUUGUUAAGCUAGCUGUGAAAGCCCCGGGCUCAACCUGGGAAUUGCAGUUAGAACUGGCAAGCUAGAGUACAGUAGAGGGGUGUGGAAUUUCAGGUGUAGCGGUGAAAUGCGUAGAUAUCUGAAGGAACAUCAGUGGCGAAGGCG